GAUGAACGCUAGCUACAGGCUUAACACAUGCAGGUCGAGGGGAAACGACAUCGAAAGCUUGCUUUUGAUGGGCGUCGACCGGCGCACGGGUGAGUAACGCGUAUCCAACCUGCCCACCACUUGGGGAUAACUUUGCGAAAGUAAGACUAAUACCCAAUGACGUCUCUAGAAGACAUCUGAAAGAGAUUAAAGAUUUAUCGGUGAUGGAUGGGGAUGCGUCUGAUUAGCUUGUUGGCGGGGUAACGGCCCACCAAGGCGACGAUCAGUAGGGGUUCUGAGAGGAAGGUCCACCACAUUGGAACUGAGACACGGUCCAAACUCCUACGGGAGGCAGCAGUGAGGAAUAUUGGUCAAUGGACGAGAGUCUGAACCAGCCAAGUAGCGUGCAGGAUGACGGCCCUAUGGGUUGUAAACUGCUUUUAUAAGGGAAUAAAGUGAGAGUCGUGACUCUUUUUGCAUGUACCUUAUGAAUAAGGACCGGCUAAUUCCGUGCCAGCCGCCGCCGUAA
rnacentral:rRNA from 1 species